rnacentral:rRNA from 1 species
CAGCCGCCGCGGGAAUACGAAGGGGGCUAGCGUUGCUCGGAAUGACUGGGCGUAAAGGGCGCAUAGGCGGCGAUCAAAGUCAGGCGUGAAAUUCCUGGGCUCAACCUGGGGGCUGCGUUUGAUACUUGAUUGCUAGAGUGGGGAAGAGGGUCGUGGAAUUCCCAGUGUAGAGGUGAAAUUCGUAGAUAUUGGGAAGAACACCGGUGGCGAAGGCGGCGACCUGGUCCUUGACUGACGCUGAGGCGCGAAAGCGUGGGGAGCAAACAGGAUUAGAUACCCCGGUAGUCCCUGUCUCUUAUAC